rnacentral:rRNA from 1 species
UACAGGGGGUGCAAACGUUGCUCGGAAUCAUUGGGCGUAAAGCGCACGUAGGCGGUUCGUUAUGUCGGAUGUGAAAGCCCUUGGCUUAACCGAGGAAGUGCAUCCGAAACUGGCGAGCUAGAGUACUAAAGAGGAUCGCGGAAUUCCCGGUGUAGAGGUGAAAUUCGUAGAUAUCAGGAGGAACACCGGUGGCGAAGGCGGGUCUCUGGGCCGUAACUGACGCUGAGGAGCGAAAGCGUGGGGAGCGAACAGG